rnacentral:rRNA from 1 species
AUUGAACGCUGGCGGCAUGCCUUACACAUGCAAGUCGAACGGCAGCACGGGUGCUUGCACCUGGUGGCGAGUGGCGAACGGGUGAGUAAUACAUCGGAACAUGUCCUGUAGUGGGGGAUAGCCCGGCGAAAGCCGGAUUAAUACCGCAUACGAUCCACGGAUGAAAGCGGGGGACCUUCGGGCCUCGCGCUAUAGGGUUGGCCGAUGGCUGAUUAGCUAGUUGGUGGGGUAAAGGCCUACCAAGGCGACGAUCAGUAGCUGGUCUGAGAGGACGACCAGCCACACUGGGACUGAGACACGGCCCAGACUCCUACGGGAGGCAGCAGUGGGGAAUUUUGGACAAUGGGCGAAAGCCUGAUCCAGCAAUGCCGCGUGUGUGAAGAAGGACUUCGGGUUGUAAAGCACUCUUGUCCGGAAAGAAAUCCUUGACUCUAAUACAGUCGGGGGAUGACGGUACCGGAAGAAUAAGCACCGGCUAACUACGUG